rnacentral:rRNA from 1 species
UGCAUUGGAAACUGUUAACCUAGAGUUUGGUAGAGAGUUCUGGAACUCCAUGUGGAGCGGUGGAAUGCGUAGAUAUAUGGAAGAACACCAGUUGCGAAGGCGAGAACUUGGGCCACAACUGACGCUUAGGCUCGAAAGUGUGGGGAGCAAAUAGGAUUAGAUACCCUAGUAGUCCACACCGUAAACGAUGGGUGUUAAACGUCGGGAUUUAAUCUCGGUGUUGUAGUUAACACAUUAAACACCCUGCCUGGGUAGUACAUUCGCAAGAAUGAAACUCAAACGGAAUUGACGGGGACCCGCACAAGUGGUGGAGCAUGUUGUUUAAUUCGACGAUACACGUAGAACCUUACCUAGACUUGACAUCCUUGGCGAAGUUAUAGAAAUAUAAUGGAGGUUAACCGAGAGACAGGUGGUGCAUGGUUGUCGUCAGCUCGUGUCGUGAGAUGUUGGGUUAAGUCCCGCAACGAGCGCAACCCUUAUCGUUAGUUAUUUUGUCUAACGAGACUGCCAACGC